UUUCCGUAGGUGAACCUGCGGAAGGAUCAUUAUUGAAACUUGAAUCGUAGCAUUGAGAACCGUUGCUGACCUGUUAAAGGGUAUGUGCACGUUCGACGUGUUGCGUUCUAUUCAUCCACCUGUGCACCUUUGUAGACUUGAUUAACUUUCGCUCUCGAGCGGUUAGAAGGGUUGCUUUCGAGCUCCCUUUGUCUAUCAAGUCUAUGUCUAUAUAAUCUCUUGUAUGUCUAGAAUGUCUUGUUUAUGGGACGCAAGUCCUUUAAAUCUUAUACAACUUUCAACAACGGAUCUCUUGGCUCUC
rnacentral:misc_RNA from 1 species